rnacentral:rRNA from 1 species
UACGGGGGGGGCAAGGCGUUGUUCGGAAUUACUGGGCGUAAAGGGCGCGUAGGCGGCCUGCUUAAGUCGAACGUGAAAUCCCUGGGCUCAACCCAGGAACUGCGUCCGAUACUGGUUGGCUUGAAUCCGGGAGAGGGAUGUGGAAUUCCGAGGUGUAGCGGUGAAAUGCGUAGAUAUUCGGAAGAACACCAGUGGCGAAGGCGGCUCACUGGACUGGUAUGACGCUGAGGUGCGAAAGCGUGGGGGGAGCAAACAGG